rnacentral:rRNA from 1 species
CGAUGAUAACUAGCUGCUAGGGCCCACAGGGCUUUGGUGGCGCAGCUAACGCAUUAAGUUAUCCGCCUGGGGAGUACGGUCGCAAGAUUAAAACUCAAAGGAAUUGACGGGGGCCUGCACAAGCGGUGGAGCAUGUGGUUUAAUUCGACGCAACGCGCAGAACCUUACCAGCGUUUGACAUCCUUAUCGCGGAUUCCAGAGAUGGAUUCCUUCAGCUCGGCUGGAUAAGUGACAGGUGCUGCAUGGCUGUCGUCAGCUCGUGUCGUGAGAUGUUGGGUUAAGUCCCGCAACGAGCGCAACCCUCAUCUUUAGUUGCCAUCAGUUCGGCAGGGCACUCUAGAGAAACUGCCUGGGAUGACCAGGAGGAAGGCGAGGAUGACGUCAAGUCCUCAUGGCCCUUAUGGGCUGGGCUACACACGUGCUACAAUGGCGGUGACAGAGGGAAGCAAUAGGGCAACCUGGAGCAAAUCCCCAAAAGCCGUCUCAGUUCGGAUUGUUCUCUGCAACUCGAGAGCAUGAAGUUGGAAUCGCUAGUAAUCGUAGAUCAGCAUGCUACGGUGAAUACGUUCCCGGGCCUUGUACACACCGCCCGUCACACCAUGGGAGUUGGUUUUACCCGAAGACGGUAUCCUAACCUUUAUGGAGGGAGCCGGCCACGGUAGGGUCAGCGACUGGGGUGAAGUCGUAACAAGGUAACC